GUGUGUGUGAGAGAGAGAGAGCGCAGUUAUUCGAAGAGAGUGCAGCAUGUGUGACGCCAGUGGCGCGCGGCCAGAGUCAGAGCGUGGCCUGCGUGAAGGUCCCGGUCAACGAGGUCACCACUCUGUGCGCUAAACAAUGCUGCUGGCGUGGCGGAAGUUCAGGCUGCAGGACGAUGGACGGGGUUAUACGUGAGGUUGACUCCGUUUUGAAAUGAGGAAAUUCCAUCAACAAAAGGACCUCAAAAGUGUCAAGUAUGCGCUCAUCAGUACAGAUGAAGCACAUUGUAAUGUCAAAACGCUGGGAUUGAGGAGUGAAGUCUUCAAGGAGCCAAACAGUGAGUCAUUUCCCUUGUUGAACUUUGCCAAGGAUCAACCUCUAUUGGCUAAAUUGAAAUUACAUCCCGGUGGACGAUGAAGAAUUUCAUAGUUCCUUUUUUUUUACAUUAUAUUACGCCGUCGUGGAGUGAAAAUGGCAGCCUCGCUCUUUGGAGAGCAGCAUGGCAAUCAGCGCCACGGUCGCCUGCGUGAAAAUGUCAAGACGAUCCGUGUGACCUGACACAUGCUGUCAUCAUUUGCCUAUGAGCAGCAGAAGCGUCUCCUCAUCUCCACCGCCUUAGGCCCCUUCAGGUGAACUGUUGUUGCCUCAAGCUGCUUGUCCCAUCUGAAUAAGGCCAAUUGAUGUGGAGGAGCAUGAGGGCCAUUCUGAUAAAGUCAAAAAUCUGCUACUUUGAACCAAAAAGUCCCGGGGCCAUAUUCUCCCGUGAGCGUUUUUUAUUUUUUAUUUUUUUAAUCCCCCUGGCUCGCACACUCUGACCCUUUUUGAUGUUUUUCCUUCCCAUUUUCUAUCUUAAAAUUCCAAUUCUAAUAUUAAAACUUUGUCUCAUAUUAAGAGAACUUGCUCAUAGUAUACCAUGUCCCCCCCAUCAAAAGAUAACUUUAUUCAAAAUAAAUGGGACAUUUUUUUCUCAUAAAAUCAAAGUAUUUAUAUAGCACCUUUCAUGCAAAAAAAAAUCAAC